rnacentral:lncRNA from 1 species
UACUAUCUUAUCUAGAUACUAUGUGUAAAGAGAUGAUUAUUGGGAUCUGUAUUACUUUAUAUUUUGGCUUAAAGUUUUCCUUUAUUUAAUCCAGCUAGGCAUUGUAUUGAAUAUUGGCCCUUCAAAUACUAUUUAUAUUAUACAGCUGUGACGUGUCUUAGUUCUUUGGGUCAAUUGCCGCAUUGGGGAGGGCCAGAGGGCGUAGGAAAGGCUGAAGAGAAGAGAUCUUAGGAGAAAGAUGACACUAUGCACUGGCUGACUAGGUGGAGAUCUUCAUGCCUAAUGCCAACGAUCACAAUAGCCCUUCAUAGAUAGAGGCUCUCCUAAUUAUAGACAGGUCAGUCUAUUAAUAACAAUCCUAACAUAUGAACUAGUGAGAUAAGAUACCAGCUAAUACAAAGAGUUGAUGAGCAAGUUGUUGUUGCCGCUAGCUCGAGCAGGUGAGGUGUUAUGGUCGGACUCCAGUAUGCACCGAAGAGGCCCAAUAGUGGGACGCAUUAGGGGCUUAGCCCAAGUUAUCUAGGGUUUAGUGGAGGAUGUCCUUCUAUAUAAACACAUGUACCCCUUCGAUAUUAAUCAGACAAUAAACAUUAUUCUGUUGUCGUCUCCCUCAGGAGACGGGAGCCCAAACCCUAGCCGCCCUGCCUUAGCCGCCUCUCUCUCUCUCUUUCUCUCAGCGACGGCGCCCAACCGACGGCGCCUGCGUCCCCAGCCACGCUGGCCGCACUUCCACCAACCGCCGGCGCCUGCGUCCCCAGCCACGCUGGCCGCACUUCCACCCCUACAACCUACGUUCGAGACCUGGUAGAACCC